rnacentral:rRNA from 1 species
GAUGAACGCUGGCGGCGUGCCUAAUACAUGCAAGUCGAGCGAACAGACGAGGAGCUUGCUCCUCUGACGUUAGCGGCGGACGGGUGAGUAACACGUGGAUAACCUACCUAUAAGACUGGGAUAACUUCGGGAAACCGGAGCUAAUACCGGAUAAUAUAUUGAACCGCAUGGUUCAAUAGUGAAAGACGGUUUUGCUGUCACUUAUAGAUGGAUCCGCGCCACAUUAGCUAGUUGGUAAGGUAACGGCUUACCAAGGCAACGAUGCGUAGCCGACCUGAGAGGGUGAUCGGCCACACUGGAACUGAGACACGGUCCAGACUCCUACGGGAGGCAGCAGUAGGGAAUCUUCCGCAAUGGGCGAAAGCCUGACGGAGCAACGCCGCGUGAGUGAUCAAGGUCUUCGGAUCGUAAAACUCUGUUAUUAGGGAAGAACAAAUGUGUAAGUAACUAUGCACGUCUUGACGGUACCUAAUCAGAAAGCCACGGCUAACUACGUG